rnacentral:rRNA from 1 species
UGCCAGCCGCCGCGGUAAUAUGGACGGGGUUUGCGUUGUUCGGAAUUACUGGGCGUAAAGCGCGCGUAGGCGGACUAGUCAGUCAGAGGUGAAAUCCCAGGGCUCAACCCUGGAACUGCCUUUGAUACUGCUAGUCUUGAGUUCGAGAGAGGUAAGUGGAAUUCCGAGUGUAGAGGUGAAAUUCGUAGAUAUUCGGAGGAACACCAGUGGCGAAGGCGACUUACUGGCUCGAUACUGGCGCUGAGGUGCGAAGGUGUGGGGAGCAAACAGGGUUAGAUA